rnacentral:lncRNA from 1 species
GACGAUCUUACAAUGUUCCACCGCCUCCAAUGGAGCCUGAUCAUCCCUUCUACAGCAACGUCAGCAAGGAUCGCAGGUAUGCACCCUUUACUGAGGACCAGCUACCAUCCUGUGAGAGCCUGAAGGAUACUAUUGCCAGCACUGCCCUUAUGAAAUGAAGAAAUUGUCCUCCAGAUCAAGAACUGGGAAAGGGUCCUGAUUGCUGCCCAUGGCAACAGCCUUAGGGGGAUCCUCAAGCAUCUGGAGGGUCUCUCAGAAGAAGCCAUCGUGGAGCUGAACCUGCCAACCGGCAUUCCCAUCGUCUACGUACUGGACAAGAACUU